rnacentral:rRNA from 1 species
UAAAAGCUCUUUUGUCAGGGAAGAAACCCGGCUCUAACACAGUCCGGGAAUGACGGUACCUGAAGAAUAAGCACCGGCUAACUACGUGCCAGCAGCCGCGGUAAUACGUAGGGUGCGAGCGUUAAUCGGAAUUACUGGGCGUAAAGCGUGCGCAGGCGGUUAUACAAGACAGGCGUGAAAUCCCCGGGCUUAACCUGGGAAUGGCGCCUGUGACUGUAUAGCUAGAGUGUGUCAGAGGGGGGUAGAAUUCCACGUGUAGCAGUGAAAUGCGUAGAUAUGUGGAGGAAUACCAAUGGCGAAGGCAGCCCCCUGGGAUAACACUGACGCUCAUGCACGAAAGCGUGGGGAGCAAACAGGAUUAGAUACCCUGGUAGUCCACGCCCUAAACGAUGCUGACUAGUUGUUCGGGAUCUACAUCCUGAGUAACGUAGCUAACGCGUGAAGUCAGCCGCCUGGGGAGUACGGUCGCAAGAUUAAAACUCAAAGGAAUUGACGGGGACCCGCACAAGCGGUGGAUGAUGUGGAUUAAUUCGAUGCAACGCGAAAAAACUUAAC